UCUCCACAGUCUGGACAGCUUUCUGGCAGCAGUGGAGGCUUCGAAGAGACACCAUGAGCAAGGGAACUUUUCGAAGAAAGAGUUUAUUGGGGCUUACUGUUUCAAGGAUCAUGAGUCUGUGAUCAGUAUGUGGUGGUACAUGGCAGCAGGUAGGCCACCAUGUUUCUAGAGAACUAGCUGAGAUCUUACAUCUUAUCUGCAAGUUGGACACAGAGAAAGUGAGAGUUAAGUAUAAAUGGUAUGGAAUUUGGGAACCUCAAAACCCAAUCCCAUAACAAUCCUACAAAAAAAAAAAAAAA
rnacentral:sRNA from 1 species